AUUGAACGCUGGCGGCAGGCCUAACACAUGCCAGUCGAACGGUAACAGGAAGAAGCUUGCUUCUUUGCUGACGAGUGGCGGACGGGUGAGUAAUGUCUGGGAAACUGCCUGAUGGAGGGGGAUAACUACUGGAAACGGUAGCUAAUACCGCAUAACGUCGCAAGACCAAAGAGGGGGACCUUCGGGCCUCUUGCCCUCGGAUGUGCCCAGAUGGGAUUAGCUAGUAGGUGGGGUAACGGCUCACCUAGGCGACGAUCCCUAGCUGGACUGAGAGGAUGACCAGCCACACUGGAACUGAGACACGGUCCAGGCUCCUACGGGAGGCAGCAGUGGGGAAUAUUGCACAAUGGGCGCAAGCCUGAUGCAGCCAUGCCGCGUGUAUGAAGAAGGCCUUCGGGUUGUAAAGUACUUUCAGCGGGGAGGAAGGGAGUAAAGUUAAUACCUUUACUCAUUGACGUUACCCGCAGAAGAAGCACCGGCUAACUCCGUG
rnacentral:rRNA from 1 species